ACUUUAGCAGUUCCAGGAUGGC
rnacentral:misc_RNA from 1 species